rnacentral:rRNA from 1 species
UACAGAGGGCGCGAGCGUUAAUCGGAAGUACUGGGCGUAAAGCGCACGUAGGUGGCGACGUAAGUCGGGUGUGAAAGCCCCGGGCUCAACCUGGGAAUUGCAUUCGAGACUGCAUUGCUGGAGUACGGAAGAGGAGGGCGGAAUUCCCGGUGUAGCGGUGAAAUGCGUAGAUAUCGGGAGGAACAUCAGUGGCGAAGGCGGCCCUCUGGACCAGUACUGACACUCAAGUGCGAAAGCGUGGGGAGCAAACAGG